GUGGGGAAUAUUGGACAAUGGGCGCAAGCCUGAUCCAGCCAUGCCGCGUGAGUGAUGAAGGCCUUAGGGUUGUAAAGCUCUUUCAGUGGGGACGAUAAUGACGGUACCCACAGAAGAAGCCCCGGCUAACUUCGUGCCAGCAGCCGCGGUAAUACGAAGGGGGCUAGCGUUGUUCGGAUUUACUGGGCGUAAAGCGCACGUAGGCGGAUCGUUAAGUCGGGGGUGAAAUCCUGGAGCUCAAGUCCAGAACUGCCUUCGAUACUGGCGAUCUUGAGUCCGGAAGAGGUGAGUGGAACUCCUAGUGUAGAGGUGGAAUUCGUAGAUAUUAGGAAGAACACCAGUGGCGAAGGCGGCUCACUGGUCCGGUACUGACGCUGAGGUGCGAAAGCGUGGGGAGCAAACAGGAUUAGAAACCCCGGUAGUCC
rnacentral:rRNA from 1 species